UACGUAGGGUGCGAGCGUUAAUCGGAAUUACUGGGCGUAAAGGGUUCGUAGGUGGCCUGCUAAGUCAGACGUGAAAUCCCUCAGCUUAACUGGGGAACUGCGUCUGAUACUGGUGGGCUUGAGUGCAGGAGAGGAACGCGGAAUUCCAGGUGUAGCGGUGAAAUGCGUAGAUAUCUGGAGGAACACCGGUGGCGAAGGCGGCGUUCUGGACUGCAACUGACACUGAGGAACGAAAGCCAGGGGAGCAAACGGG
rnacentral:rRNA from 1 species